ACCCCUCGUUUCUUCCCCCAG
rnacentral:miRNA from 1 species